rnacentral:rRNA from 1 species
AUUGAACGCUGGCGGCAGGCCUAACACAUGCAAGUCGAGCGGUAACACAGGGAGCUUGCUCCUGGGUGACGAGCGGCGGACGGGUGAGUAAUGUCUGGGAAACUGCCUGAUGGAGGGGGAUAACUACUGGAAACGGUAGCUAAUACCGCAUAAUGUCGCAAGACCAAAGAGGGGGACCUUCGGGCCUCUUGCCAUCAGAUGUGCCCAGAUGGGAUUAGCUAGUAGGUGGGGUAAUGGCUCACCUAGGCGACGAUCCCUAGCUGGUCUGAGAGGAGGGCCAGCCUCACUGGACCUGAGACACGGUCCAGACUCCUACGGGAGGCAGCAGUGGGGAAUAUUGCACAAUGGGCGCAAGCCUGAUGCAGCCAUGCCGCGUGUAUGAAGAAGGCCUUCGGGUUGUAAAGUACUUUCAGCGAGGAGGAAGGCAUUGUGGUUAAUAACCACAGUGAUUGACGUUACUCGCAGAAGAAGCACCGGCUAACUCCGUGCCAGCCGCCGCCGUAA